rnacentral:lncRNA from 1 species
CGACAUCCAUCACUAGGAGUCUAUGAAGAGUCGAAAGGGUCUCUCCCGGAAUAACCUUGCAGUCCUUACACAUACCCCUAUCGCUCCUUCUGAGGAGGAGGUAAUCAAUCUGAGUACUUGCCGCCAAACUCUUGAAAGUGACCAAAUUCUCCUCCCUCUUCUAAAAUGUCGAGUUCGCAAUCAGAAGCUCGGAAGCCCUGGCGAAAUCAAGCAGUGACGUGCCUCCUCCGUUCCUAACCCCAAAGCCGAAGCCACCGUGCACCUCACCAUAACCAACAACAUCAAAUAUUUAAAAUGACCUGUAUUUUUGAACCAAGAUUAAAGAGAAUUAUUGGGAGGAAGAAGGGGAGACUUUCUUUUUUGAUAAGGAGGAAGAAGUAGAGACUUGUAUAGUUUGUUUAGAUUUUACUCCUUGAUUAAUACAUAUAUCUUUUUAGAAUAAAUAUUAAUUACUUCUCAUGAGUAUAAUUGCCUAUUCCAAUCACUCAAUUAUUUUGAGUCGUCUCUCGAAUAACU